rnacentral:ncRNA from 2 species
UACGCAGGCGCGGGAGAGCGCGGCGGCCUUCAAGGCCAUCAGCCGCCGCCGAAGGAGCAACCACCCCGGAAUCUCUCAGGCAGCAGGGACCGCGCCGGCAUA